UAUGUAUAAUAGUAUGUAUCAUUAUAGUUAUUCCUUUAAAAAGUUAUAUUUUAUUUAUAUAUUUUUUUUUUCUUGCGAAAUGAAAUAUGAAAUUUAUUGUUAGUUAAAUAUAUAUAUAUAUGCUCAUAUGCGUACAAAUUCAUUCAAAAUAAUAACAAAAGGAGAUAUAAAUAAACAAACAAGGUAUAUUUAUAUCUUUACGUGCAUACAUAGCUAUAUAUAAUAUAUAUGUAUGGUUUAACAAUUUAAAAAAAGUCAUAAAAUAUACUUAAAACAAAAGAUGGUAAGAACGAAAAUAAUUGACGCUGGGUGUUUUAUAUCUCAAAUGAAUGAGUUAUUAUUAAUAGAUCCUCUAUAUAUGAAUUAUGCUAUAACAAAUUAUUUUAAUAAUUAUAUUAAUGAUAAAAAAGAAUUGUUGCCUAACAAAAGUUUAAAUUGUAUUUAUUUUCCUAAUGCAAAAGCUGGUAUGUGGUCUUCUUUUGCUAUCAAAGAAAAUAACAAUUCUGCAUCGAACUCACUCGAAGUGAGUACUACAAACAGUUACGAUAUAGAUAGAAAUUAUAACAAUGAUAUGGUCAUAUCAUUCUUUUGUGUUAACAAUAGUGAUUUUAUGCAUGAAUAUAUAACUACUGAAAAAAUUAAUGGAUUAAAGUGGCAAAUUUUUGAAUUAAAUGAAAAUCACAUAGGUAACGAAUUAAAUAAAACAGCUGAUAAUAACAAUACAACUGGUGAUAAAAAUACUAAUGAAGAAAAAAAAAAUCCCCCAAAAGAAAAUGAAACUAUUGCUUUUGAAAAUUAUUUUACUAAUGUUCUAACUAUAGAAAGUGGUCAAGUUGGUUUAUUUUGUAUAGAAUCCAUUAGAAACAGUGCAAAUAAUCUCCUUCAAAAAUAUGGCCAAAAUUCAGUUAAUAAUAAGGAACAAUUAGAGAAAUUGUUUAUGCAAAAUAUGAACGAUUUAUAUCCAUGGUUUGAUAAAAUAUGUAAUGUAACUAUAUCAUCAUCUAUUGCUAUAAUUGAUUAUAUGAAUAUGCCAGUAGGAAGUGUUUGUAUAUCAAGUUCAGACUGUGUAAUUAAUUAUUUAUGCGAAGUAGUAAAAGACGAAAUCACAGGAGAGGUGUGG
rnacentral:lncRNA from 1 species